UACGUAGGGGGCGAGCGUUGUCCGGAUUUACUGGGCGUAAAGGGCACGCAGGCGGUCCUGUCAGUUUCUAGUGACAGGUCAGAGCUUAACUCUGACAGGCCUAGAAAGACGGCAGGACUUGAGUACUUCAGAGGGACGCGGAAUUCCAGGUGGAGCGGUGAAAUGCGUAGAGAUCUGGAAGAACACCAAAGGCGAAGGCAGCGUCCUGGGAAGUUACUGACGCUCAGGUGCGAAAGCUAGGGGAGCGAACGGGAUUAGAUACCCCGGUAGUCCUAGCUGUAAACGAUGACCACUAGACGUGGGGGGUAUCGACCCCCUCCGUGUCGAAGCUAACGCGUGAAGUGGUCCGCCUGGGGAGUACGGUCGCAAGAUUAAA
rnacentral:rRNA from 1 species